rnacentral:piRNA from 1 species
UAGGUUCUGGGACCUGGGGGAAAGGAUGG